UGGGGAAUAUUGGACAAUGGGUGAAAACCUGAUCCAGCGACGCCGCGUGGGUGAUGAAGGCCUUCGGGUUGUAAAGCCCUGUGGAGAGGAAAGAAAACGGUCACGGCGAACAGGCGUGGCCCUUGACGGUACCUCUUCAGAAAGCACCGGCUAACUCUGUGCCAGCAGCCGCGGUAAGACAGAGGGUGCAAACGUUGCUCGGAAUUACUGGGCGUAAAGCGCGUGUAGGCGGGUCGGAAAGUCAGGCGUGAAAUCCCUGGGCUCAACCCAGGAACUGCACUUGAAACUUCCGAUCUUGAGUGGUGGAGAGGGAAGUGGAAUUCCUGGUGUAGAGGUGAAAUUCGUAGAUAUCAGGAGGAACACCAGUGGCGAAGGCGGCUUCCUGGACACCAACUGACGCUGAGACGCGAAAGCGUGGGGAGCAAACAGG
rnacentral:rRNA from 1 species